AAAUGUAGGGCAGCUUCCUACUCUGGGAGUGGCCUCAGGCUAGUUCAGGUUGCUAAGUUGAGUUCUGGAGGAAGCUGGCUUUGUGGAAAACAGUUUGGCUUUAGCAGACAGGACAGUGGCCGUACUCAAGACUGGCAGGAGAAUGGUUAAGAACCUGCUUAGCAAUGAAGGCAGUGACUGCACUAACAUGUGAGAAAGAAGACAGAGAUGGGAAAGCAGCAGCAGGACUCGCUGGCCUUAGUUUAAAAGGCCCCAGAAAGCAACACUGAUGGCUGAACAAAGGCAGCACUGUACCCUGAGCCCAGCACAAGCCUUCGCUCUCUGUCCUGCAACUCCUCAGCUGGCCCGGCCUCUACACAUCUAUUUCUCAUUGAUACGGAUGCACUUUUACUGCCACUGCCUUCUCUGAGAUUCCAAACAGACCUGCAAACCUCCCUUGCCUGCUCUAACGAUACCGACCUACCUGCCUUUGGAGAAGGGGCCCUAGGGACCAGCAAACUCAAUUCAGAAAGGGCCAGAGAGCAGAUAUUUUGGUCUCUAUGGGUAGUAUAGUUUUACAAUGCACUCUUGGGUUUUUCUUUGUAAAAUACAUUUUAUUGUUAAAUUGACCAUUUAUAGUCAUAGACUUAUGGGGUUCCGAGUGACGUCAUGGUUUAUGAAUACAAUGUGGAAUAAGUAGAUCAGAUAAAUUAAUAUCACCCCAAAUACUUAAUCCUUAUUUGUAGUAAGAAAAUUUGAAUUUUACUGUCAGAAAAUUUGAAAUGCACAACCCUCUAAAAACGUAAAAUCACCAUGCCUUUAAUACCAGUACUUGGAAGGCAGGGGCAGCAGCAAAUGGAUCUCUGUGAGUUAGAGGCCAUUCUGGUCUAUAGAGCAGGCCAGCCAGGACUACACAAAGAAACCCUGUCUUGAUAAAACCAACCAACCAACCAACCAAACAAACAAAAAAGUAAAAAUUACUCCCAGUAAAAGCAUAGCAAAACCACCA
rnacentral:lncRNA from 1 species